AAUCUCUAUGAUGAACACCUUUAAGCCAAAACAGUUAUCCCUGUCAUAAAAACAAUUGAUGAUAUACUAAGCUGACCAAAUA